rnacentral:lncRNA from 1 species
GUAAACAUUGGCACCCAGGACUUGGUUGAAGGGAGGGUUAAUACAGCUAAACGGAUUCCUAUGUGAGUUAGAAUGAAAUAUGCUGAUAAUCUUAUGGUUUUCAUCUUGAUUAUUUGUAUUGCAGCCACAUCUCUUACUUGGGUUGAUCUCUCAAAUCAUAAAGGUAGGCAUAUAAAUCCUCUGUAUUAUUUAUAUGCAAUUUCUUGUAUUGGCUUUAAACUUUCAUGAUGGACUGAGAAAAGUAGGAUGUUAACUUAAGACAAGUUGUUUUCAGGUACCCUUUUUCUCAUCCUUACCUCUGUGACGGACUGGCAGAUCAACUGCUUAGCAGAUCUAAACCUUAAGAAGAAGACACCAUCAGCUUGUGGAAUUGGUGGAGGAUAGCAAAUUCAGUAAUAUAUCUCUUUAUCAUGUGAUUGAUGAUGUUUAAACUAAGAAUAAUUCAUGAAAAAAACAGGUUUUAGACAAAUGCAUUGAUUUGUUUCCAUUUGAAUUAUUGUAACUUGCAUGAUGUUGAGGAACUUGGGGGUUAGCUCCUGAGAAGGUUCUACUAAAAUGGAUGAAUUUUCAUUUAAAUAAAGCAGGCUACGAGAAAACCGUUACAAAUUUUUUGUCAGAUGUGAAGGUAUUUGACUAUGUUAAUACUAAAUUUAGUGGCAAGGGUACAAUAAACUAAUAAAAUGGACCGAGGUGGAUGCUUAUACAUCUAUUGGAAGCAUUGCUUUAUUUCGCUUGCAUUCAUUAUUUGGUAUGUUUUACUCAUUUCCAUACAUGCAGGAUGCAAAAGCUUAUGCAUACCUGCUUAAUGUUCAGGCACCAGAGCACUGCAAUCCAUUGACCCUAGAUACUAAGGAUGCUGCCGAAAGGGCUAAACUGGUACUUGACCAUGCAGAGAGAAUGGGCUGCAAACGGUAUUUGAGCCCUAAAGACAUAGUUGAGGGCUCGACAAACCUGAAUCUUGCAUUUGUGCCUCAAAUCUUUCAUCAGAGGUGAGAAACCACAAAUCUGGCAGUUGUAACACAGACAUUUUCCUUUUAAAUAACUUUUCGGUUUAGUAGCAUUUGUCAUAGAAAACUGUUGAAAUAUCAAAUCUGGGGCUUACUCCACUCUAAGAGGUUUUAGGAACAGCCUGUGGUCUUGUGCCUUGUAAAACUGUUAAAAUAUGAAAUUAGUAGGAGUCAAGGUGCAUGGGUUUUUUCUCAUGUACUUAAAAUCAUGAAUGGCUUUGUUGUAAUGCACAUCUUUUGUUAGAAAGAUUAGGAGAUAGUGCUAUGAUUUGAUGCUUACACAAUUCGGCUGUGGUGUUUUCCAGAUGGUUUGCUUACAAGGGUUUUCGCGAGCCGCCAGUCCAUUAUCAUGUUGGUGUUUUAGGCUGUUUAGUUAGUAAAACAAAGUCUGCUCUUUGCUCUUUAUAUGUUGUCUCUAGUUUUGUUAUUGGAUAAGAAAAACAUGUGUGCUGUUGCGGGAAUGGCCUGAGCGUAGACAGCAAAAAGAUUUCUUUUGCAGAAAGGAUGACAGAUGAUAUGCAAAUCUCCAGAGAAGAGACAUGUUUGCGACUGUAGAUCAACAGUCUUGGGAUUGGGAGUUAUGUUAAUAAUGUCUUUGAGGAUUUCAGAACUGGGUAAGUCUUCCGCUUCACCGAUAUAGUUAAAAUGCUCAAGUUCCAUGCAUUAUCUCUAUCGUAGAUUUUCAGCAAACAUUACAAGCAACAGGUUAAACCACGAAAGUAUCAGGUUAAUUGCUUGUCCUUUCUCUUAGGAUGCGGGCACGGAUGCAUUUUCAAGUACAAGCUGGCACGUUUUGCAUAUGUCUCAACAUUUUCAACAUCAGCUUGUUUCUGCCAUAUUAAUUUAUGAUGAUCUUUGAAGGCAGGCAUCAUAGUUUUGUAAUUCCAUGUAAUUCCAAUAUUUCAACUAUCAACAUAGGGAGCUUGAUUUUGAUGCAGAUGGAUACUUUUAGAGGUGCUUGAUAAGAUUGCUCCUGGAUCAGCUGUUGCAGUACCAGAUGGACUUGAAGUUGGGGUGGUUUUUGUGGCAACAGGAAGCAAAGGGGGCUCAAUAACAUUUGCCUCAUUCAGAUAGUGAUUUGGAGCUUUAGCUGGUGGCAAGUAAUCAUUUGUGAUUAGUUUCCAAAGGCCGCCAGGCGGAACGGGGCUCAUAUAACCAGCUGUUUUGUUGCCUCUGUUUAAGCAUCGGUUCCCUACAAAAAGAUUAUCAAAUCAACACCAAUACUAUGAAAAUUUUGUAGUUUCUGCAUAUGACAGUGCCAACAUGCACUUACUCCGGUAUCUAUUAGAUGUCUUUGGGAAGUCUGUAAUGACACCAUCAAUACCAGCUAAAGUGUAGAAGGAAUUGAUCUCAACAGUUGCAUCAGAUAAGUAGUCCCAUGCUUGAGAUACGAACUCAUUACUGAAGGUUUGAACAUAUACAGAGAGAUUAGCAUUAUGUAGCCUCGGGACAACAUCCGUAACACCAGUGAGGAAUGCUGUAUUUUCAGGAAAGACAGAGUCCUUGCUGAUGACCACAGCGCUAGCAAAUCUCUUAAUGUCGUCAAUUGCUGGACUGUCAGCACCACCAAUAUCUUCAUCAACCUUGUAGACAAGUUUAUAGUUGGUUUUAGUCUUGAACUUCAUUAGAACAGAGCUAUUACUGGACUGGAUCAUAACUGUCUGAGCUGUCUGUUCAUCAUAGUCAGCUUUUCUCAAAGCAUCAAGUACUGCGUCAGUUACACCAUAUCCCUGCUCUGCAAGGUAAGGAGCAUUCUGAAAGGAAUAAACAAGUCAAAAAUUUUCAUAAAUAUUCCUGUUAUGUUGUCAAGGAAGAAACCAUUUGAAAUACAAAUAUUACAACAUUUAUAGCUAGCUCACAAUAGCGGCAGAUCCAAGAUUUUUUUUCUAGAUGUGUCCACUUAACAUAUAUAUAUAAUUGUUGAUGGAUUUGCUAAUUCUAUCAACCAAAAAGGGCAUCCAAGAAAAAAUUUUGGAGGUGUACCGGGAAAGUUUUUCCUUCAAAUUUUCUUUUUGAGGGUUACUACUUUUGAAUGUGGAUCCACCACUGGCUCACAAAUGAGGCUUCUAAGCAAAUUAGAGCUUCAGGGGAAGGUUUUUUUUUUUUUUUUUUUUAAAUCAAAGAAAGAAAAGAAGAUUGGAAUUUACUCACAGAAUGUCAAGAAAAAUAUGGACACAUGUAGAUACCCAAGAAGAUUUUGCUAACCAUAUAGGGGAAAUAAUCAUGAAGAUUACACUUUUCGGUAUCCAUGAUUUUCUUACAUUACUUUGCAAGUAAGUUCAAACCGAAUAGCUUAAAUACAAGAAAGACAUCCCACAAGAGACAAAACUUACAUGAAGCUUUUUAAGUGAAAUUUUUGAAAUUUUUUCUCAAAAAUGAUUUAAUAAAUACUUUAAUAAAAAAAAAUCCAAACCAAUAAAUUGAUAGAAUUUAAUAUAAAAAUCAAUAGUACGUAAAAAAAAUUAUUAAAAAUAUUAUUUAUAAUUCAAAUUUGAACCACUCUUAUUUAACAGUAAAAAUUCUCAAUAUUUUUACUAAAAAUGUCUAUCUAAAAAUAUAUCAAAAUUUAUUAAAAUAUUUUUUUAAUUUUGCACACUUGAUUUAUGUAACAAAAAUUUUUAAUCUAUUGGUUUUGAUUUUCGAUUUUAUUUUUUAUUUAUUAGUUUCUAAUUGAAAACUUCACAAACUUCACAUAAGGAAUUUCAUCUAUGUCUUUCUCUCCUACAAGAUAGGUUUAUCUAGAUCUCAACAUUUGGAAAACAAAGGAAUGAUCUUUAAAUCUCAAGUGAUAUUCAGUUAUGAUGAGAGCAUUAAAAGUUUUGAAAACCCUAGAAUUAGCGAACUUUAGAGUGAUUUAGGCAAUGUAUCUACAGAUGUCAAGUUCAUAAUGGUGGCAGCUUCUUAUGAAACUACAUUUCUAUGUUUCUUUGACCAUUCAGUUCAAUAUAUUCUACAUGGCAUAACCCACAGCUACCAUAGUUAUGAUUAAGACUCAAUCUGAUAUGUUUCUCGGAAUAAUUAGGAUACCAAACAGUACCCACCAGCACAGCAGAUAACCAUAGCCACCAUUCACAGUGCCUAACCUCUUAACAUGCAUCAUUAGGUUCAAUAAUGUGAGUAGAAAAUAAAAAUUACGGCAGUAAACUCCAAUGCAAGAAACUUGAAGAGGAAAAGUACAGAAUGGCAAGAACUGACCUCUAUGCUGAUUAAGAUACCAUAAAGAGAGCUAGCAUUCUUUGCCAUGGCUAAAAAAUCAUAUAAAGUUAAGAACUUCCCAGAAUUUUUGAACUUCGGAUUUCGAAACAAUUGGUAAGCUGACUGUGGGCUUGAUAUUACAGCUACAAUGAAAGUAAUGAUAGAUUACAAAAAAAUUAAAGCCAAUUAUAUCUAUUUAAGAAACAGCAAGAUGGCUAAAUCUCAGCAACUAAAACACAGACUUAGAUGAUAGGGCAAAGUAAAUAAAACUGACAUAGUAUACACGGAAACAUUAUCUCCCAAAGCAAGGAUUUUAGUCAUGCUCCACGACCAUGGUUAUGAGUAACAAUCUUUCAAGCACAGAAAAAAUGAGGAGGAGCACUCACAAAGCAUCAAAAAUACCCACUCAACAUAAUGUACAAACUUCAAUCUUUACUGAGUUAGACAACAUUUAUUUUCAACAUGUUAUGUUUCUAAAACUAUUAGAGACUAUAGAUGACAUCCCAACCAUCCCAAAAGAAAAAAUAAAACAAAGCAAAAGUUCAGUACGAUAAAGAACAAGCAAAAUGAGAACUAAAUUCAACUUACGUGUCAAGCUUUGAAUAUCAAUCCAGGACAUGUUGAAGGUAAAUAUUCCACUGCCUUGCGUAAUCUCUGGAAUUGUUGUUAUAAGAUUGCUAAAACUUGAUUGAGCAACUGUUGUGCUAUCUAUCAGAUUUACAGAGCCCAAGCAAAUAGGUGUUCCAUCCUUUGUCAUUUGAACAGGACAGUCAAGAACAUCUACACCAUCUUCAAUUGCUUUUAAAUAUGCCAAGUCAGUACAACCAGGAAAGUCUCCACUUGCUCCAUUUUUUGAGAUGACCAAAAGGUUCACUGUAGCAUGCCAACAAAAUAAAAUAGGUUAUGAUAAACCUUAAAACGAUUGUUGGUGCCUUGAAACACAUAAUCUCAUAACUGUUACCACUAACUCUCAACAAGAAAAAUAAGAUCUUUUGAUCAGAAGCAUUGUAUAAUGACAAACCUUGUUUUGAAGCAUUUUUGCCUAGAUGAGCAAAGCAAUCUGCAAUAUGAAACAAAAGUUAGCAUCUCAUCGAAAAUGUUUCUUAUCCAUUAGCAGCAAAUGAUAAUGAUAUCUAGUAAAAAUCAGACAACCUUUCUUUCAAUAAUCAGACUAAGUUAUUGUGUAGGGCAUGUCAGGCCACGACAGUAAAGAGAGACAGAAAAGGCAGACAUAGUCUCACUUCACCUUCUUAUUCAUAUGACACCACUACAGCAAGAGGCAACCAAGGUGAAAAAAAAAAAAAAAAACAAAGUGGAGGAUUCUUAGGUGCACCCUAUUGGUCAUACAGCAGGAUAUAUUCCCUAAUUUGUGAAAACUACAAAAAUUUGGAAGAUAUUCCCAAGAUGGCAGCACAAGUCACUCAGACAAGCAAGGCUCCUUAGAAAUAAUGAGAAUUUCACCAUAAUUUAAGGUAAAAAGUAAACAACAUUUUAUGAGAUGCAAAAACAAAUUGAAGAAAUAUACGAGAACUGACAUUGCAUAUACAAACUGGUAUAUAACUUACCUAUAGCUGCUGAUGGAGAUAUUGGGAAGUCAGAUAUCACCCCAUCAACAGAGAAGUUACCAUUGUCAACAAACUGAAGAUACUCAGCCACUGGAUCGUAGGAGUAAAUGAAGCUAAAUGGAACAUCAUUAUAAAACUCGGAUGCAAAAACUUCUAGCCCUUCUUUGUGAGCAUCCAAGACAACAGAGGUAGAAGAUAGCAAAUAAAGAUUUGCAUCUACAGGCCAGAUAUAAGACUUGGGUACAAUGAUUCCAGAGGCAAAUGUCUUGAUAAAUGUGAGAUUUUUUAAGAGAGAAUCAUAAGUCUGGUUGGUUGAAGGCUCCACCUCUUUCUGUCCUAGAAACCGGAAGACAAGCUUUGUUGUGCUUCUUCGGAAACGUGCUGCAAUACUUUGCAAGAAAGCCAUCUCCGGUGAUGAGAUAUAGCCAACAGUUACAUUCACAUUUCUUGUUACAGAAAGUAUAAAGUUUUUCAUACUCAGGUUGUGUUGUGUAUAGAAUGCAUCGUGCUGCAAAAAUAGAAAACCAUUCAAUUAAAUCCAAAAACAGGAAGAUGAAGUUAUACUAAUUUAAUACCGGGAUAAGAAGAGACAAGAGUGAAAAAGUAAGACAAAGGAAUUAUUAAGCAUUGAUUAAUCCUAUACCUGAAUAUUCAACCAAAAACCAGGAGGUUGUAAAUUUGUAGAUAUAUCCUGAACAGUCAUAAUUGGAUAACCAUUGCCAUCAAGCUUAUUGGAACGAGAAUAGACACCUUGAGUUACUGUCCAGAUAACAAAUUGCACAUUAGAAUGUGAUACAUCAAUCAGAUAGCAGAAAGCACGAAGAAUUUACUACUAGAGCAUUUCAAAGCAAGUCAAGAAACAAACUUACUGAAAAAAACAUGCUGAAUCUCAACAGGUAAUAAUCUUGACAUGACUGCUAGCACAAGCAUAUCAGAAUUCAGAAUUAAUUACCUAAUUAAUUGCAAAAUUGCUUGAACUGGGUUUUUAAUGGUCAGUGUUUGAUGAUUCAAAACUAAAACUUAUUUUGACAACCAUUAGAUGAACUUGGCACUCACAAGUUCAUUAACUAUCCAUCAAGCAAAGUUUGUGAAGAUAAUGAUAAUAAUGAGAAUGGCGACAAACACAAAACUAAUGAAUGAUAUCGAGAACAUUGAUGAUGACAGGAAAAAAAAAAGAAAACACAAAGAGGAUAAAUUGUGAGCUGAACUUACAAUAAACAUUUCCUAGAUCCUUGAGAGUGUAAUCAACAGAAAACCAUCCCUUGGUAGAGACCCCAUUAACAAGGUAAGCCUUCUGCCCACCCUUGUCAAAAUCUGCAAUGUCAGAAUUAUUAUCUAGCCUAAGAUCAGGAAAGCAAAUCCCAGCUGCAUCUUUUGUUAAUUGCACAUCACACCACAAGAUCGCAUCAGGUGGACUAGUUAAUAAAGCGAAUCUAUAAGCUUCAAGACUAGAGUCUGGAAACACUCCGGAAAAUCCACCACGUGCGAUGACAAAGGGUGCAUUCCCUGCAAAAGGAAUCAAAUAGUUUAAGCUUAUUGAACAAUAGAAAAUUAAAAAGAAAAAAUAACUUUAUAAAAUCUUUGUCUGAUAUGAAUGCUAAUGUUAAAUGCUUUUAUGCAUCUAUAGACUGAAAUGUUGUAGCUAACCACGCUGACAGGUGAGGAUAUCAAAAUUUUAACCCGCCCUGAAGAACGUCUACUUCUCAUAUUGUAAAAUGUUGGAACAUAUCGUAUUUGCUCUUCAUCAAUGUUCUUCAUAACCAAACAAAUUUCAGCAAAUUUUUUAGUUAAUUAUGCUAUUCAAGCUGUUUGGUAGAGAAAAAAAAAAAAAGGGAAACUGUUAAUAAAGAACAAAAACCCAUUAUAGUUUGAGAACGAAGACUCAAAAUAGAAAGCAAAAAUAUUCAAAUAAGUAAAUCACGAAAGACUUGAAGCCGCAUUUUCCAUCAAUUUGUUUCACUUUCUCAUAAAAAAAAAAGAAAAUUUUUAACUACUGAAUAGAUGAAAUAAAUAGAAAAUUUUUAAAAAGAAAAGGGAAAGAUUUCCACUUUGAGUAAGUUGGAAAUCAUUAAAACACGCGUUUUUUUAUCGUUUCUUCAACCUUUUAUCGGAAUGAAAGAGCAAUUAGACAAAAUUUUCUUUCUUUAAGGAAACAGGAGAAAAUCUGAAAAGCUUUGUCUUUCCUCCGCUUUCUUUGCAAACAAACCGAAAAUAUUAAAUAUUUAAGAAAAAAAAAGUGAAGCUCAAACUAGCAUAGUUUGAACAAUCUUCUCACCAUUUCCUUUUCCUGGAAACCAAAGAUAAACUAACUAAAAUUCAAACAGCUCAAGCAGCUCGAAGUAAGCUUAGAUUAAGCAAUUUACUCAUCAUUUCCUUCACUUUCGAGGAAACCAAACAAAAACAAGCUUACAAUUAAGUGAAACACAGGAAAAAUCGAACAUGUUUCCAGCUCAACAAACUAUUUUCUCAACAUUUCCUCCUCUUUCUCAGCAACCAAACAGAAAACUAACUAAAAAAAAGAAGAAGAAGAAACUAUAACCAAAAGAAAAUAAAUUUCUCUCAUCAAUUAAUUAAUUUAGAAAAAAAAAAACAAAGAAAGAAUCUACAUAAAAGAAACCCACCGCUUAGAGUCUGCCAACGAGAACGAGUAGAUCCCUGAGCAUAAACCAAAGCUACUGAAGCUAGCAAAGCUAGAACUACCAAAAUGGCAAGCGAAAUGCCACGUAAGCUUCCCAUUGCCGGAAAAAUCUCCUCCGCUGACAACCGAGCUCAGCUCCGCCACUGAUCGCCGCCGCCUGUUUGUUCCUGUCCUUCGUAAACCGUACAAGUUAGAGAGAGAACAGAGGAAAACACUGAACUUUUAGCUGGCUUUGUUUUUGCUGGUUUCAGAUAUUUAUGUUAUUAAAAUUUAAUUAAUUAUUAUUUUUAUCCAAUUAAAUGAGUUUCUCUCGACCGAAUUAUACGUUGUCCUCAGCUCGGCUCCAGCCGGUCUGAGGAAGGUUCUUGGCUUAGAGGUUUUCGUUCUAAGCUGUGGGACAAUGAUUGAGUGUGACCGCCUCCACAUUAUUAUCAUGAUCCCUAAAAUUCUAAACUUGAGGUUUUCUUUGUUUUUACUUUAUUUAUAUAUUUAAAGGUGAAUUUGUAUUUAGGAAAGUAAAAAGAAAUUUAUUACAAGAAUAAAUUUAAAAUUACAUGUAAUCUUUUAUGGUUCCUCUGUAUUUCUUUGGUAAUUAGAUGUGUCGUAAUGAUUUUGUGUCCGUCCGACGAAUUUAGAAACGAAAUAAAAAUAACGAAAAAUGGAGUUACCACCAAAAUUUUUUGGUUAGGUGUGAUUAGUCACCUAUUAAAAUAUAUUAUUUUAAUAAAAUCUUAAAAUUUAUUAAAAAGAUAAUUUCAUGGUCUGUGAAACAGUCUGAGUUCGAAAAUUGGUUACGAAUGGAGAAGGAUUAGCACCCCACGACGCCCGUUUAAAAAUGGUAUCAUUUAACAACGUGUUAUCUUUUGAUUUUAAUUAAAAAUAGUCUCAUUCUCAAUGUUUGAAAAAAUAAUUUUCUUGAUUUUUUUAUUUAUUGAAAAUUGGUUUGUUUUGUUUUAUUUUUAAAAAAUUAUUAUUCAAAUUUUAUUCGAGAAAAACAAAUUAAAAUUUUUUUAUUGAAAUAAUUCUUAAAAUGUUUCAGUACGUUGGUAACAUUAAAAGAAUUUUUUCUCACUUAGAGAUUUCUUAGGCAUCGCUUCUCGAAAUACCUUAUAAUCUUAUCUUAGGAGGUCCGAAUUUAUUUUUCGUAAAAAUUAUGUCAUGUAUGCAAUGCAGAAUAUUACCAUGUUGAUGCACAUAUUUUAUUCUCUUUUUUUUAUAAAAAAUUUAUUAAUUAUUUAAUUAAAUUAUUAUUAUUCUUUUUUUUUUAAGAAAAGGAGAACUUUUGUUAUAUUGAAGAUUUUAUAUAAAUAUUCUAAUACAAUGGUAAUAUUUAAAAAAAAAAUCCUCUCACCUAGGGAUUUCUUAAAGCAUCUCUACUCGGAAUACUUUUAGAAUCCUGUCAUCGGAUAAAAUUCCCUUUUUGUCUCAUUUUUUAUUACUUAUUCUUAAUUUAGUAAUUAGUUUUUAUUUAUUAUUAUUUUAUAAUAAAAAAGGAAAAUUUUUAUUUUAUUAAAAAUUUUUUAUAAAUACUCCAAUACGCUGGUAGUACUUAAAAAAAUCUUUUCACUUAAAGAUUUCGUAGGUAUCAUUACUCGAAAUACCUUUGAAUCUCAUUGUAGGAUAAAAAUUUCUUUUUCUUACAUUUUUUAUUAGUUUUGUAUUAUUAUUAUUAAAUGUAUUUUUGUUUUAUUUUGUUUUUAAAAUUUAUUUUUUAAAAAAAUUAACAAAAUUAUAAAAAUUUUAAUUACAAUUUCAUCAUUUAAUCUAACAAAUAUGAAUAUUUUAAUAUGUAUAAAUUUUAAUAAAAUAAUAUAUAAAAAAUAAGAAAAAAAAUUUUUUAAUUUUUUUUUACUUGAAUCGAACCUGUCAACAGUCCGAUCAACGCGCGAUUCGGUCCGACAGUUCGGGUGCGAUUUGGCUCGGUCUGGUUGGUUCAACGGUUGGGUACCGACUUGAUUCUAUCUGGGCAAUUCAAUUCUGGUUCAGUCGGACCGGUCAGAGGCUGACGAAAGAAGUUGGUAGCGGGUCGGGUGCACGGACCUCGGGUCAGGUCACGGGUUGAAGCGCGGAUCCUUAGGGUUCAAAACAACGUCGUUUUGGCCUUUAGGCCUCUAUAUAUAACUGAAUAUUUUUUUUGUUCAUUCUUUUUCUGUUUUAAAAAAAAAAAAAGAGGAGAGCUCUGGGGAGAGUUUCAGAGCUUCCUCGCCAUCAGGUAGCUUGACCGUUGCGUCAGUUGCCAUCGGGUCACCAGCGAUGGUCGUUGUCGGUGAUCGUCGAUGUUGAAAAAUUGUUGAAAUUCCUCUAAAUACUUCUCUCGACCUCCUGAGUUCAGAUCCACUGUCCUUUUUAGGAGAAAAAGCUCUGAUCGACGUAGAUCGAGAUUUAAAGUUUUCUAAGUUUUCUGUUUUUUUUUUUUUUUCAAAACCCGCACUGGUCGUUCUCUUUUUUUAUUGCAAGAAAGCUUUAGACGUGGGGUUCCUCAUCAAACGGUGAGGACUAUGUUUUUUUUUUUACAGGGUUCCCUUCCUUCUUCUUGUUUCCUCUCUUUCUUUUUCUUGUUUGGUCAGAAGCUCUAUUUAUAGAGCUCCAGUAGUGAAUGGCAUAAGGCUCGACAUGGGAUGCAAGCAUGAGCCCCAUGCUGCCUUUAUUUGUUUCUAUUUUAUUUGACAGUGAGGGUAAUGGAUAAGGUGUGGAUAGUAGGGUAAGGGGGAAUGGGUGGUAGGAUACCCCGGCACCAUUACCAUCCCCUAUUUUUUUUUGUUCUAUUUUUUUGGGGUAUCUUAUAUUUUGGUUUUUUUUGUAUUUUAUAUUUAAUAAUAUUAUUUUUUUUGUCGAACAAAUUUGAUGUCCACAGCUGUCUUUUUUUGUAUAUUGUUGAGAAUAAGAAAUAGGGCAAAGACAAAGACAAUAAUUUUAUCCGAAAUCCAAAAAGAUAUUUUUUUCUUUUCUUUUUCUCUUCUUUUUUUUUAACAUAAACUACUCAGAAAGUUUUUCUCAUUAAAUCGAAAAUGCUUCUCUCAUUUGAGGCUCGACAACUUUUAAAAAUUUAAAAUCUGAAAAAGACUCCUCUCAGCAGAGGCUCAACAAUUUUAAAAAUCUUAUCUUAAAAAACUUCUCUCAGCAGAGGCUCAACAACUUUAAAAAAUUCUCACAUUGAAAAAGGUUCAUCUCAGUAGGCGCUCAACGACUUUAAAAAUUCUCUUGAAAAAGCUCAUCUCAACAAAAUCUCAACAACUUUAAAAUCCAUCUUAAAAAAGCUCAUCUCAGUAGAGGGUCAACAACUUUAGAAUCUCAUUUGAAAAAGCUCCUCUCAGCAGAUGCUCAAUAACUUUAAAAUCUCAUCUGGAAAAGCUUUUCUCAACAGAGGCUCAAUAACUUUAAAAUUUCAUUUGAAAAGCUUCGCUCAGCAGAGGCUCAACAACUUUAAAAUUUCAUCUUAAAAAGCUCCUCUCAGUAGAGGUUCAACAACUUUAAAAUCUUAUUUGAAAAGCUCUUUUCAGCAGAGGCUCAACAACUUUAAAAAUCCAUCUUCAAAAGCUCCUUUCAGCAGAGGCUCAACAACUUUAAAAAUCCAUCAUGAAAAGCUCCUUUCAGCAGAGGCUUAACAACUUUAAAAUUUAAAAUAUGAAAUAGGUUCAUCUUAGCAGAGGCUCAACAACUUUAAAAUUUCAUCUUGAAAAAGCUUCUCUCAGCAGAGACUCAAUAACUUUAAAAAUCUCAUCUUGAAAAAGCUCCUCUCAACAGAGGCUUAACAACUUUAAAAAUCUAUCUGUUCUUCAAAUUGAGUUCUCAUUUUUGAACAAGUAAAUUUUUUUCUUUUGAAAUCUUUUAUUUGAUUAGGACAUGGAAAGUCUCUGUCCUCAUUAUUCAUAGAUACAUGUACUGAGUGCUCUAAAUGCAAUGCAUGUAAUACAAUCAAAAUUAUUCAUUGUGAUAAAAAGUUUUUCAAAAUCUCUCAUUUUUUGCUUCUUUUAUCAAAAUUUUUAAUAAUUGCCAUAUGAUCAAUCUGUUCUUAACAUCUAACUAUUGAAUUCUUUCCUACCAAAACUUUUUUUCAAAAGUCUACAACAUCAAUGACUUGUCAUGCUUUUUUCUUUCUUUUUCAUUUACCUUUGUCAACUUUUAAAAAAUAAUGCUAAGAUCUUUCAUGUUUAUUUUUCUUUUCAUUAUUUUAAGUCCAAGACCAAUAAAAUGCAAUCACACAUUUCUCCUAUUCGUAUGGUGGAUAAAAAAUAAGAAUAAAGAAAUGGAUAGGUGUUAUUUCCAAAAGAAAUAUAGUAUAUUUUAUUAGACUGAUAACAAGUGCAUGAUAAAUAUUUGAGCUGAAACAAAGGUACCUAAAUAAUGAUCAUAAGAUAAUCAUGUAUAAAAUAUUUCCAGAUUCUUUUUCUAAAACUAAAUUAGAUGAUUUCCUUGAUUCUUCAGAGUUUAUCAAACUACACUUACCUCUGUAUUAUAGAAUGAUGCUUCUUCUUCGCAUCCAAGCUAUUUUUUUCAGGUUUUCAACUUAGAUAAGUCAUUAUUUUUUAUUUUUUACUUUUUUUUUUCUCUUUUUUCUUUCAAGCAAAAUAUUUCUUCACAGAUCUGAGUUUAUCAGAGUAGGUAAAUCACUUUCGUUUAUCUCUGUCAAAAUCAAUGUCCCGUAAGAAAAGGUUUUUUUCAUCAUAUACGGGCCUUUUUAAUUUGGUGUCUAUUUUUUUUAAUUAUCAUAUUAAUUUGAAAGGAUCUUUUUCAGUACUAAAUCUCAUUCUCUAAAGUAAUAAGGAUGGAUUUUCUUAUCAUGUGCUCUCAUCAUCCUCUUUUGAUAUAAUUGAUCAUGACAAAGUGCUGUAAGUCUUUUCUUUUCAAUGAAGUUUAAUUGCUUGUAGUAAUUUAAACCCAUUCUACUUCCUCUAAUUUUACCUCCAUAAGGACUCUCAGCGAAAGAAUUUUCACUUCGACCAGUAGCAAAGUUUCCAUUCCAUAUACCAAAGAGAAUGAAGUGACCCCAGUAGAUAUUCAGACUGAUGUUCUAUAAGCAUGCAAAGCAAAAUAUAGCUUCUCAUGCUAAUCUUUAUAAGUAUCAAUCAUUUUUUUCAAGAUUCUUUUGAUAUUGUUGUUUGCAGCCUCUACUGCCCUAUUCAUCUUUAGAUGAUAUAGUGUCGAAUUACAGUGACAAAUCUUAAACUGAGUGUAAACUUUAUUUAUUAUUUUAUUGUUUAAAUUUUUAGCAUUAUAAAAAAUAAUUGUCUCUGAAAGCCUAUAUCUGUAUAUUAUCUCUUUUUUAUGAAAUUUACACACCACAGAUCGAGUCAUACUAGCAUAUGAUGCGACUUUUACCAAUUUUAUGAAGUAAUCAAUCAUCACAAAAAUGAAUCUAUGUUUAUUUGAAGCUUUUGGAGUGAUGUGACCGAUGACUUCCAUACCCUACAUAAAGAAUGGCCAUGAAAGAGCCAAAACAUGCAAUGUUGUUGGAGGAGUAUGAAUCUUAUCAGCAUAGAUCUGACACUUAUGGUAUUUUUUAGCAUAAUCAGUAUAGUCACUCUCCAUUAUUAACCAAUAGUAUCCAACCCUCAUAAUUUAUCUAGCCACUAUAUGAUCAUUUGCAUGUGCCUCAUAAACUUCAUCAUGCACUUCUUCAAUAAUCCUCUUCGUUUCAGUUGCAUUUACACACCUUAAGAGUAUUUGAUCUCGACCUCUUUUAUAGAGGAUGUCUUUAUUAAGAAAGAAACUCAUAACCAACCUUUAAAUAGUUCUCUUAUCAUUUUAUGUUACAUGUUCUGGGUAUUGCUGGCUUUUAAUGUAUUACAUGAUAUCAUGAUAUCAUGGCUUUCCAUCAACUUCUUUUCAAUACCUGAACAAUAUACUGGUUCAUCUUUUACAUCCAGCUUGAUAAGUUAUAUUUCAGCAUUUACAUUUAUUUUAAUCAUUACAGCUAGAGUAGCCAGUGCAUCAGCAAUUUGGUUUUCCUUUCUAGGCAAAUGCUCAAAUUGAACUUCUUUGAAUUGUUUUACCAAUUGAGAGAUGUACUUAUGGUAUCGUAUUAACUUAAAAUCUAUGGUUUCCCAUUCUCUUCACAAUUGAUAGAUGACUAGAGCUGAAUCUCUAAACACAUCUAAUACUUUGAUUUUCUUUUCAAUUGCUGUUUGUAGAUCCAUAACAUAAGCCUCAUACUCAGCCACAUUAUUUGUGCAAUUAAGAUUUAACCUGACUGUAAUGGGAUAAUAGUUCCUAUCAAGAGAUAUUGAAAUUACCUCAAUACCAUGACCCAAAGCAUUAGUAGCUCUAUUAAAAUACAUCUUCUAAGACUCUUCAACAGGUUCAUUUUUUUCAAUGCCAUCAUAUCUUCAUCAGGAAACUCCAGGUUCAUUGGUUCAUAAUUUUUGGUAGCACGAUCGACUAGAAACUUGGCUAUUGCAGUUCCUUUAAUAGCCUUUUGAGUCACAUAAAUAAUAUCAUAUUUUGAAAGCAUAACUUGCCAUCGCGCUAUCUUUUAUGUCAAUGAAGGCUUUUCAAAGAUAUACUUAAUAGGAUCUAGCUUUGCUAUAAGUCAAGUAGUGUGAUAAAGCAUGUAUUGUCUAAGUCUUCAAGUUAUUCAGGCUAAUGCAUAGCAUAUCUUCUCUAAUGGUAAAUACUUAGACUCAUAAUCAGUGAAUUUUUUGUUCAAGUAGUAUAUUGAUCAUUUUUUCCUGUUAGUUUUAUCUUUUUACCUCGAUACACAUCUCAUGAAAUUUUCAUGUACUGUUAAAUAUAAGAUCAAAGACUUUCUUGGAACAGGUGGUACCAAUAUAGGUGGAUUUGAUAAUUAUUCUUUGAUUUUAUCAAAAGUUUCUUGGCAUUCAUCAUUUCAUUCUCCGGGAUUAUAUUUUUUAAAAAACUUAAAAAUAAGAUCGCAUUUGUAAGUAAGUUGAAAGAUGAAACGAGCAAUAUAGUUCAGUCUCUCUAGGAAACCUCACAUUUCUUUUAGGAUACAAGGAAGAGAUAAGUUCUGGAUGACUUGUACCUUAUCCGAGUCUACUUCGAUUCCUCUUUCACUGACUACAAAGCCUAAUAGUUUUUUUUGAUUUGGUAUCAAAUAUACGUUUAGCAGGAUUCAACUUCAGCUAAAAUCUUCUCAACUUGUCAAAUAAUUUUUUUAGAUUGACUACAUGAUCUUCUCUUUCAUGAGAUUUCGUAAUCAUAAUAUUCAUAUAUACCUAUAUUUCUUUAUGCAUCAUGUCAUGAAAGAGAGUCAUCAUUACUCUUUGAUAAGUGACACCAGUAUUUUUUAACCCAAAAGGUAUGAUUUUGUAAUAGAAUAUCCCUCACAUGGUCACAAAUAUAGUUUUUUCCAUAUCAUCUUGAGCCAUCUUGAGCCAUCUUGAUCUAAUUAUAGCCUGAGAAGCCAUCCAUAAAAUAAAUGUGGAAUGCCUAGCAGUAUUAUCCAUUAAAGUAUAGAUGUAAGGUAGAUGAAAGUUAUCCUUAGGGCUUGUCCUAUUCAGAUCUCGAUAAUCAAUAUACAUUCUCACUUUUUCAUCUUUCUUAAAAAUUGGCACUAUGUUGGCUACCCAUUCAGGAUAUAUUACCACCUCUAAAAAUUCAGCAUCAAAUUGCUUUUUCAUUUUCUCUUUAAUUUUUAGCAGCAUCUUUGGUUUCAUGCACCUUAACUUUUACUGCAUCGAUUUACAUCUUGAUUUUAAAGGUAACUUGUACUUUACAAUAUCAGUGCUGAGUCCUGACAUAUCCCAAUAAGUCCACGUGAACACAUCUUCAUAUUCUCGAAGUAACUUUUUUAGCUUCUAUCUUUCAGCUGGUAAAAGAGAUAUACCAAUUUUAACCUCUUUUCUGUUUUUACCAUCUCUUAAAUUCACUAAUUCGAUAAUUUUUUGGUGGGAUUCAAUUGGCUUAUCUUCAUGUUCUAUUAAUUUUAACAAAUCAAGAGGUAGUGUGUAGUUAUCUAAAUCUUUCUCAUUAUCAAGUUCAUCAACACGAAUUAAGUUUUUGAAAUCAAAUCUGAGAUUAUUGCCAUGAUUAUCUUUGUGUUCAUUGUUUGGGACCCUGCAAAGAUAAGAUGAAGAGAAUAUUAGUACACAAAAAUAGAAUGACAAGAAAAUGAUGAAAAGAGAAGAAUGAAAAGUAAAAUAAAGAUAAAAAUAAAGAAAAAAUACGGAUGCAUUUUCUAAGUCUUUUAUUAAAAUGACAAACAUAAACACACCAUAAAAGAUCUCUUAAUACUCGUAGAAAGUAAUUAGGGAUUUAAAGUUUCACAGUACAUUACUUUUUUAAAGUUUUAAAGACAACAGACAACUAUAUAACUUUUCAAUUAUCCAGCUUAAAAUCUAGAAGAUAAGGGUACACGAAUAGCUUUUCACUUCGACUUUUCUUUUUUUCAUCAUCCUUUAUUUAAAUGGCCAGCUCUAAAAAUUCUUCUAUGAAUCUUGCACUUAGGACUCUCGAUAAAUCUGGAUAAAUAUAUCCUUCUGAGUGAAAAGAAUUAUAGAGGUAUGGAAUAACCAUAGGCUUUGACUCUGACUCAUAUCUUCCAAGAUUAACUAUCCUCUUAUCUCUUCUCUUAUUCACUAUUCUUAUUCUGUCCCCUCUUGUUGGCUUAUAUCCCAAGCCAAAUCUGUAUUUUUUUUUUAUAUAUGAUUAAUGGCUUUGUGAUUCCUUACAAGUUUUUCCCAAGUCUGGCUUCAAGUCACCAUCACAUCUUGGUAUGCUAUUUGACUACCAUUUUAGUUAUCGUAGACAAGUAUGAUGAAUACAAUUUAGAUCUUUCAGCUAUAUAUAUUAUAUUGGUAAUCUUAAAAGAUCUAUAAGAGCAUUCUAGAAGUUUAUCUGUUGAUUCCACAUAAGAAGUAUUUAUCAAUUGAGUUACCAAUAAAUCUUUUUUUCUUACCACACAUGUUAGCUUCCCUUCAACAAUGAAUUUGACUUUCUGAUGUAAUGAGAAUGGAAUAGCACCUGCUAUAUGGAUCCACGACCUACAUAAUAAAUAACUGUAUGAAAGAGAGAUGUCCAUGACUUAAAAUUUCACGUUAAAAGUGCAUAAGCCAAUCUGUAAUAGUAUUUUUAUGUCUUUCAGUACCUCUCUUUGGGUUCCAUCAAAAGCUCUCACUAUCAUAUGAUUAGGUUUCAUAUAAGAUCCAUCAAUAAGAUAACAUUGAUAGAUGAGCCAUUAUCAAUCAAAACUUUAACCAUUAUAUGACAUUUACAUUUCACAGUAAUAUGAAGAGCCUUGGUACUUUCUUGACUUUCAAGAAAAAUCUCUUCAUCACUAAAAGAGAUAUAAUUUGAAAUUAUCAUAUUGCUAACAAGUUGUCCCACAUAUUCAACAGAAGCAUUGUAAGAUACAUAUGCUUGAUUUAGCACUUUUAGCAAAGCAUUACGGUGUGACUCUAUACUAAACAAUAAUGAUAGUAAAAUUCUAACUGACAUCUUGUUAAGCUAUUCUACCAUGCUAUACUCGCUAUGUUUUAUUAACUUUAAAAAUUUACAUGUUUCACUUUCAGAGAUUGGCUUUUAAGAUUCUUUUUUUGGGGCUACAUCAAGAUCACUCUGACUUUUUUUCUUUUCUUACCUUGGCUUUAUCUUUUUUAGCUUUUUCUAGAGCCUCUGGGGUAUAACACCUCCCAUUUCGAGUCAUGCCUCCUACAUCUAUUAUGUUUACAGUAUCUGGAUUGACUACGAUAUCACAAUCAUAUUUUCACGAUAUUACUUUAUCAUUCUGAUAUAAAAAAGGACCAGAAACUUUAAUUGUUACCAUGAUCAAGAGACUGGCUUUUUUAGCUUCAAUGUUGGCUUCUCAUCAUAAUAGAUAGUUAUCGAUCUAUGCACAAACUUAUUCUUUAAAUUAAUGGUAGACAUUUCAGCUUUCAUCAACUCUUUUCUUUCUUAGUAAAACUUUAUUCAAUCUAUAUCCAUCAACUUUUACACCUUUUGACAAAAUUGGUGAUAAUUCUUGAUAAAAUACCCUAGAAUACCUCUGUGAUAAUUGUAGCUUUCAGUUAAGUUAAUCACUUUAGAGUAAUUUUGAGGUUCUAUUGGCUUCAACAUGUCAACUUUGACCAAGACUUUGAACACCUUAGCCAUCAGAGUUUUAACUUAUUUAUUUUUUUCCUUCACAUGACUUCUUUGCCCAUCAAUUAAGGUAUUUAUUAAUGGUCUGGUAUGAUUUGGUAGAGGGUUUUCAUUAACAUUUGGAGUCCCUUGUUGGUUGGUAUCAAAGUUUAAUACCCUUUCAUUGAUUAACCAUUGCAUUUUAUGCUUCAAAGCAGUAUAAUUCUUAGUGGAAUGACCUGGAUUCUCAUAGUGAUAAUCACAAUAUGCAUUGGGGUCAUACCAUUUGAAAAAUAAAGGUUUCAAGGGUUCAACGAUAACAAGAACAAACAGAUAUUUCUCAACAAGUCGAGGAUACAAAUCUAUGUAUGUUAUGGGAAUGAGAUCGAAAGUGAUUUUUUCUUGGGUAUUUCUCAGGGCUCUUAAAUCACUAUUAAGACUAGGUCUCCAUUCUGAUCUGGUAGGUGCAGCAGGAUGGUUGUAGGUAGGUGUCCGAAAGGUUGGUUGAAAACGAGGUAGAUAAGCUGGUUAUGAUAAUGAUUAGUAUGGUUGAUAUGGAUGAGGGAUGGAUGUAACAUGAUUUACGAAAGGGUAAUGGGUCUAGUAGACUGGUACAAAAUAAGGUGUGAAACUUUUGAACUAUUGCUCCAUAUAAUUCAUUGUUUGAGCUUCAUUCUCUUUCUUUUUAGGAGCUCUGCCUUUUUUACUCCACUUAUCUUUCCUACUUCGAGCUUAACAUUCUUUAUGGUAUUUUUAAUGAUUUUACCUGAUGUCACCAUAUCUGUAAAGUUUUUGGUUGCAUUGCCUAUUAAUCUCUCAUAGUAUGGUACUUUCAGGGUGUUCACAAAUAAAAUAGUUAUUUUUUUCUCAGUGAGGAGAAGUUGAACUUGUGCAGCUAUAUCUCUUCAUCUUUGUGCAUAUUCUUUGAAGCUCUCAAUUUUUUUUUCACACCUUGUAAAGAUAGACGAUCUGAAGCCAAAUCUCUAACAUGUUGAUAUUAUGCAAGAAAUACCCUUAUGAGCUCUCGCCAGAAAUGAAUACGAGUCAUGUCUAGUUAGAUAUACCAUUUAACUAUAGAUCUUGUAAGGUUAUCUUGAAAUAUAUGCAUCAAUAACUUCUCAUCAUGAGUAUAUGCUACCAUCUUACGAUAAUACAUAGUGAUAUGAGUCAUUGAAUAUUUCGUGUCAUCAUAUUUUUCAAAUUCAAGAACCUUAAAUUUUGAUGAAAUGACCACAUCUAUGACUAAACAAAGGUCAACUGUAUCGUAAAGCCAUAAAAAUUCAUUCCCUCUACAGUCCUAAGCCUUUCUUUCAAUAACUUCAUAUUCUCUUAGGCACUGAUAUCUUUUACUUUUUCAGAUAUAUUUAUCCCUAGCUUUUCUCUCUUUUUGGGAUCAUCUAAAUCAGGAACUAAGAUCGACUCAGGUGAUUUUUUCAUCAUGACAGGAUUAAUAAAAUUUUAAAAUUAUCUUAAAACAUGUGUGGAUGUCAUUCUUGGAUAAAGAUUGGGAUAUCUACCGAGAGUAGAAAUUGAUACUCUAGUUCCUUGAGAGGUUGAGUCGAUCAUGGCUCAAACCCUAGAGGAUAAACAGGAUCUAUCAUAUCUGACGAUUACUCUUAAAAGCUAAGAUUUUCUUCCACUGCUUUUCUCUUAUCAAAUUUUUUGAGCAUAUCCAUUAUUGUACUAAGAUCUUCUCUUAGUUCUUUUUAAACUUUUUCUAUUCUCUCAAAUCGACUAACAUGUUCUUGCUUCAUGAUUCUUGUCUGAGUCCUGGUUUUGUAUGAAUGAUGAUAGGUUACGUCAAAAUUUUUGAUAGGUAAGCUAUUCUUGAACCUUUAUAACCACAAAGUUUUUUUUAAUUUAAAAAAAAAAAUUAGAAUGCUAUAUGUUAAAAUUUUUAUUUUUUACUUAUUUUAUAAAAAAUGAUGUACAUGAGACAUGAAUGCAAGUGAGAGAUAUUUACUUUUGGAUAAAUUUCAACAUUAAAAAUUUUUAUUGAUUUCAUACAACUUUUAUUACAUGAGAUUUACCAUUUUAGAGUCAUAUCCAUAGAAGCAUUUGACUUGUUCAUAAUGGUCUUUUGCCUCAUCUAAAAAGUUCACUAGGCGUUGUCCACAUUCUGCUAUAGGAUUGACAUCUCUUUUUAAUGCUUCUACCUUUUCAACCAUCUCUCAUGCUUUUUUUAUUACCUUGCAAACUUGAUUAGUCAAGUGUUUUAUAUAUUAUUACCUCCCUAAGCUUUCUACUUUCAUCUCAUGUGAGCAUCCCUUUUUGAAUCACAUGUGAAAAUUCAAUCUUUUUUUCUUCUAUGCCACUUAUAUAUUAUUGCUGAAAUAUGACUCUUAUGGUCUUGUAGUUAUAUCUCUAACCUUUGGAUCACCUGGUGAAGUGAUUUUUUUUUAUUCAAUACUUUAAAGUGCUUUCUUCUCUUUUUUACGAGCAUGACUUUCAAUCUUUCCUUUUCGUUUUAGCAUUCUACCAAUCUUGCUGAGGUUAUAGAGUAUAAUCCCUUCUAAUUUUGAUAUUCUUGAAAAAUUUCGGUGGUCUCCUCUUGUUUUUCUUAAGCUUUACCCUCUCAUUGGUUCAUUUCCUCUCGAAGCUCAUCCAUUUCACGUUGUUGACUAUGGUAAGACUUGGUGACUUUUUCAGUUUUGAAUUGGACUCGUAACCUUUUGUUUUCCUGAUGUAGAUCUUUCAAAUCAUUAUUAACCAGAUCUCAUUUUUUUAUGACUUUUUCUAAUCUGGUUUCUUGUAUCUCUGCUUCAUAUUUUAAUUACUUUACUUUCUCAUGGAGUCUCAAAUUUUUUCUUUUUAUUUUUUUUUAGUUUUUAAUUCUUUCUUGACAAGCUCAACUUUUGAUAAUUGUACCUCUUUUAAAAAAUUAACCAAUUGAUAUGAGCUGUCAUCAAGAAGGAGUAUUAUGUCUCUAAGCCACUUUACUUUCCAAAUCGAUAAUCAAAAGUGACUUUAUCGAUAAGAGGCCCCAAUCUCAUUUUUCGUAUUUUUUUUCAUACUUAAAUCAAUUGCUCUGAGGUUCUUGAUGGAUUCGAUUUUCCAUAAAUGAAUUUUACUUGGACCAUGCCAUAAGUAGUAAGAACAAACUACUUUACAUAAAAUUACCUAAGCACCAUUAAUGGAGCAUAACUUAUAACACCCCAUAACCCUAAUAACGGUAUCCAUGGCUCAUUUCCUCCAUGAUACAACAAGGGCACACGAGACAUCCGAGGUGCCAUCCAUUCGAUUUUAUCCCCAAUAAGCCUUCGUAAGAAAAAGACACACUCUUCUUUAGUCUUCAAUGUCGGCCAUUGACUUUUACAAAACUUUUCGAUUGGUGUCUUAUUUCAAAAAUAUGGUUUCAAAAAUGCACUCUUCCCACACUUGAAAUGACUUCUAACCCAUACAUAUAAUUGAGAUGCAUAUCCUAUGAAUCAUCUUUUUUCAUUUCGUCGAUAAAAAUUCAAUGACCUGAUGAUUUCAGUUAGAACUACUAGAGCGAAAUUAAUUGUUUGGGUUUUAAUUUGCUCAAAAAAGUCUACUACAGUUAUCUCAAUGUAACCCAAAGUUUUCAGAUAAAUUAUCAUGUCAUACAAUGCUAGAACAAACACAAUCAUACCUUGAUCAUCAUUUAAAUGCUCCUGAAUGAAGUUUUAAAGAAAGUCCCAAUAGACGUCGAGAUGUUCACCUUUAGGCUUCACAAAAGAAUCAAUGGUUUCUAUUUUGACCCUCAUAAGCUUGGCUAACUUUUUACGAUAACCUGAUUUUAACUUUAGGGUAAAUACUUUAUCUGGACAUAAUAGUUCUAUCUCGAGUAAAAUCGAAUACUCAUCGAUAGUUGGCAUCAAAUCUUUCUGAUUAAAAGUGAAGCAUCUAUAGGAUGGAUCCCAAAACUAUAUAGCUCUUUUGACCAGCUGUUCAUCAAUCAUUACUGAAAUGAGGGAUGUAAUUUAUCCAUACUUUUUACAAAAGCUUUUUUUUUCUUUAUUUAAUUGACCCCAGAUAGUGGCUAAGUCUUCUAAAUCAUUUUGUGUAAGAUCUAAAUGUAUUUUUUUGGGUAAUUCAGACAUAUAACCGGUAGGCAAACAAUCUUCACUCUUUUGUUGGGCUUUUUUUUACCAAACAUGUACUUCAUUAUAUGACUCACAUGAGACACUAACUGAAGAUGAGCAAAUUCGUAGUUCUAUAAGAUCCAUGAAAACUUCUUAGGAGAAAUAUGUCCUAGAGCAAAUAUCUUAUGCAAAACUGUAUGGUAUGAUUAAUGUAAAAAAGAAAAAAAAAUGAAGCAAAAUUGAGUUAGUGCGAGAAUGUGAUUUGAAAAAAAUAUUUUUUUAGUGUUGUUUUUUGUGUUUUGAGAUUUUUUAUUUGUUUUAUUUUGUUUUGUAUUAUACACAACUUUUAUUCUUAGGUAUUUUCUACAAAAAGGUGGAUAAGGCUCUACAUAAGGCUGAUUUUCUAGGCUUAUUAUAUGCUAAGUUUGGAUUAACAAUGUCUAAAGGUUCUUAAAUUAUUCCUCAUUGUCAUCCAUGUUGGACUAGUAAGGCACCCUGAUCCUCAUCCAUUACAGGUUACGAAUAGAAAAGGAUUCAAUUCGAAUGAAAGUAUUUCGCUUGUCAUUACGAAGGUUAUCACCUCACGAGGGCAUAGGUACUUUACUUUCUCCUAUAAAAGACGAAGCCCGGGUAUAGAGCUCAUGCAUGAGAUGUAUCAUGCCAUUGUGUGUAAAUAUAUCAUAAUUUAAUAUAUACAAAAAAAAAUAAAACAUAAGAGGCAUAGUGAAAAAAAUGUGUGUGAAUUUUUUUGCUUUUUAUUUUCGAUUUGUUUUGAUUUUUUUUUUACCUUUUUUUAUUGAAAAUGAAAAAUAAAAAUCUAAGAAAUUGAUUAAGACUGUUUAAAUCAAAAUUUAAGGAUAACAAGUAGUUAAUUUUGGCCUGACUUUUGGCCUGACUCUCGAAAAUAAAAGAUCGUCCCCAGUGGAGUUGUCAAGCUAUCGUAACGAUUUUAUGUCCGUCCGACGAAUUUAGAAAUGAAAUAAAAAUAACGAAACAUGGAGUCGCCACAAAUUUUUUUUGGCUAGGUGCGAUUGGUCACCUAUUAAAACAUAUUCUUUUAAUGAAAUCUUAAAAUUAAUUAAAAUUUAUUAAAAAGAUAAUUUCAUGGUCUACAAAACAGUUUGAGUUCGGGAGUCAGUUACGCGUAGGGAAGGUUAGCACUCCCACGAUGCCUGUUUAAAAACAGUACCACUUAACUACGUGUUAUCCUUUGAUUUUAUUAAAAAUAGUCUCAUUCUCAAUGUUUGAAAAAAUAAUUUUCUUGAUUUUUUUAUUUAUUAGAAAUUGGUUUGUUUUGUUUUAUUUUUAAAAAAUUAUUAUUCAAAUUUUAUUCGAAAAAAAUAAAUUAGAACCUUUUUAUUGAAAUAAUUCUUAAAAUAUUUUAGUACGUUGGUAACAUUAGAAGAAUUUUUUUCUCAUCUAGAGAUUUCUUAGACAUCGCUUUUCGAAAUACCUUAAAAUCUCAUCUUAGGAGGUCCGAAUUUAUUUUUCGUAAAAAUUAUGUUAUGUAUGCGAUGCAGAAUGUUAUCAUAUUGAUGCAUACAUUUUAUUCUCUUUUUUUAAAAAAUUUUAUUAAUUAUUUAAUUUAAUUAUUAUUAUUCUCUUUUUUUUAAGAAAAGGAGAACUUUUGUUAUAUUGAAGAUUUUAUAUAAAUAUUUCAAUUCAAUGGUAAUAUUUAAAAAAAAAUCCUCUCAUCUAGAGAUAUCUUAAAGCAUCUAUACUCGAAAUACUUUUAGAAUCCUGUCAUCGAAUAAAUUUUUUUUAUCUCAUUUUUUAUUACUUAUUCUUAAUUUAUUAAUUAGUUUUUAUUUAUUAUUAUUUUAUAAUAAAAAAAAGAAAAUUUUUAUUUUAUUGAAAAUUUUUUAUAAAUACUCCAAUACGUUGGUAGUACUAAAAAAAAUCUUUUCAUCUAAAGAUUUCGGAGGUAUCACUACUCGGAAUACCUUUGAAUCUCAUCAUCGGAUAAAAAUUUCUUUUUCUUACAUUUUUUAUUAGUUUUGUAUUAUUAUUAUUAAAUUUAUUUUUAUUUUAUUUUGUUUUUAAAGUUUAUUUUUUUUAAAAAAUUAACAAAAUUAUAAAAAUUUUAAUUACAAUUUCAUCAUUUAAUCUAACAAAUAUUAAUAUUUAAUAUGCAUAAAUUUUAAUAAAAUAAUAUAUAAAAAAUAAGAAAAAAUUCAGAAAAAAAUUUUACUUGAAUCGGACCGACCAAUGGUCCGGUCAACACGUAGUUCGAUCUGACGAUUCGGGUGUGAUUCGACUCAGUCUGGGCGUGGUCUGAUUGGUUUAGCGGUUUGAUACCGAUUCAGUACCGAUUCAAUUCGGUCUGGGCGGUUCAGUUUCGGUUCAAUCGUACCAAUCAGAGGUUGACGAAUGAAGUGGAUCGCAGGUUGGGUGGCAAUGGUGCCGUAUCCCCUAUUUUUUUUUGUUCUAUUUUUUUUAUAUUGUAUUUUGGUAUUUUUUGUAUUUUGUAUUUAAUAAUAUAUAUAUUUUUUGUCAGACAAAUUUGAUAUCCACAAGAUGCAAUUAAAAAAAGUAGUCAAAAGCCUUAUUUAAAUAUGUACUGAAUCGAAUAUGAACAAGUUUUAUGUAUUUAUAAUAUAUUUAUUUAAUUAAUGAAUUUUGAAAUAUUAUUCGUGAUCGUUUUUUAGUUUAAAACAAAUAUAAAUAAAUAAAAAUCGAAUAUGUUCAUAAAUUGUUUAUCAAAUGUUAUAUUUAUUUACACACUUGAAUGUAAGCAAAUUAAACAUAAACAAAUAAAUGAAUUUUUUCUAUAUUUGUUAUCUAUUUAUUUGAUCAAUGAAUUUUGAAAUAUUAUUUAUAAUUAUUUAUUCAGUUUAAUAAACAACAUAAUCGAAUAAAAAAUGAUCUUAUUCACAAAUUAUUUAUCUAAUAUUUUUUUCGUUUACACUUUUAAUCUUGUCACAAUAAUAGAAUGGUAAUUUAUUAUUACAUGCACCCUACAAAUAAAAUAUAUCUAACUAAAGCAACAAUUUGACUGCGUUUUCUAUUUAGUACUAUUAUUUUUUUCAACUUAGGGUAAUUAAUUUUUUUUAACAAUAAAUAGUAUAUACAAAUAUCAAUAUCAAGUUUUGCAUUAGAACAAUUAUGUUGAUGGUAUUUUUGGUACAGAUGAGUUGGAAACUAUAUGGAGAAUGAUCUAUACUUGUAAUAAAAAAAUACGAUUAAAGGACACUAGAGUUGGUUUUUUAGGAUGCUCUCCUCUCAAGUUAAUUAAGUGUUUAGAUUUUUUGGAAUGAUAAGAUAAAUUGUAGAAUAUGUGUGAAAAGCUUAGAGGAGAAAGGUUUAAAUUUAUCAUACUUGGACUUAUUUUUUUACCUUUUAUAUGAAAUAAUAGAUAGUGAUAUAAUUGAUAUUGUUGGUAGUUGAUGAAAAAUUAAUGCGGAACUCGAAAAAGAGCCAUUAAGUGAGUAUAGGCUCAUUUAAUAAUCCCAAAGCAACCUAGAUUACCUUUAAUGAUUAUAAACAAAUUAAAAGUUAGUUGAUAUGUUGUGAGAUGAUGUUACGAUAAAACAUUAGUAGUAAUAAUUGGGUAAUCCUAUUUUGGAUAAAUGAGUGGAGAUAAGUUCAUUUUAUGGCGAGAGGUUUAGGUAUUGAUCAUUUUCAAUGUAACGUGUCAAUCAAGCAUAUAUCAACUCGAUGAGUGUGAAUGUUGACUUUAUUGAUUAUUAAGUGGAUAUAAUAGAUUAUAAAUUUAAAUUAUGUAUUAAAUAUUAAAAAAAGUCUUUUUAAUGUUAAUUUAAUAAUAAAAAGUUAAACCUUUCGUAAAGAAAAUGAAGUGUUCUACAAAAAUUAACUCUUUUGUAAAUUCAAAACCUUGUAUAUAAUAAUUUGUUCAUAAAUGUAACGAUUGUAAGAAAUUAGUUUUUUUAAACUUAAAUAAUAAAAAUAUUAACUUUAAAGGUACAUGACAUGUAUUUGAUGGUCUGUUUUAAAAUCACAUUAUCAUAAUUUAAUUUUUUUAAAUAAGUUCAUAUAUUUUUAUUAUAUCAAAAUAAGCUUAUAUUCUUUAUUUAUAUUCAAAUAAAAUUUAUUUCAAACAAAAUAUUGAUUCAUGUUAAGAACUUAUUUAUAUACAAAUUAAAAAUUAAAAGUUUAUUUGAAUAUAAAUUAAAGGUUAAAAGUUUAUUUUGAUUUAAUAAAAAUAUAAAGAUUUACCUAAAUAAAACUAAUAAAACUCAAGGAUCCUUUUAUUAUUUUAGCCAUUUUUCUUUUCUUAUACAUAAAAAAACAAAAACAUCAACAAGAUUAAUCCAAUUAAUAAGAAGAAAAGUUUCAUUUUCUUUCCAAUUAAGUUCGAUCUUCGAAGAACAUUUAGAGAAUAAAAUCUUGGAUGCAUUAGAUUUAACUUGGUAAUUCAUUUUUUUUUGUAUUUAUUUUAUAUUAAAUAUAUGUAAAAUAUUAAAAAUUUUAUAUUAUAAUUUAUAUUGAGACUUUAAAUUUACACAAUUUUUUUCAAAAUUCACAUGUAAAUUUGUUAAAAUUUUAAAUUAUACUACUUUCAUAUUUUUUUUUGUCUGAUUUCAUAUAAUAUCAUUGUAUUAUGUUUUAAAUUAUUAAAUUUAAUUAAAUUAAUAUAAAAAAUAUAUUCUUAAAAUUAUUAAAAAAUUAAAUCCAAACAAAUAAAAGAUAUCAAUUGGUAUUACAAAAAUAGACAAACAAAAAAAAAAAGAAGAAAUUAUCAUAGUAAUAAUGAGAUCCGAAUUAGAAACUUGGAUCAGACUCUUUCUCAGUAAAUAUUUUCCACUGCCAUGAUGGUCUGAAAUUUCAUGAAAUUAAAACCAAUAAUAACAACUGCAAAUGUCCUGACUUGCACCAAUUAGAGGGCCAGCCGAUCCCAGCCAUUGAAUGUCUGAACUGAACCAGUCAAAAGUACUGGACCCACUUUCUUUUUUUUCAUGGCUCGAGCCUUCCAACCCAAGCCAGCAACCGGAUGAAGUGGAGGGUAGAAGUGAAAAAUUUUAAAAUUAAACAUUGAUUUAAAAUUAUAAUAUUUGAAUAAGUAUGGUUUAAUUUUUUUUAUAUUUAAAUUAAAUUUAAAUAUUAAAUUUAUAUAUAAAAUUCCAAUCAAAUUUUAAAUUAAAAAUUAAAAAAAAUUAAAUUAAAUCAAAUUAUAUAUUUUUUAAAGUUUUAUACGUAUUUUAAAUUUUUAUAAAUAAAAUAAUUAUUUUAUAUUUAAAUUUAUUUAAUAAUAUUAAAAAUUAUAUUAAAAUAAUAUAUAAAUAUUUUAAAUUUAAAUUUAAAACUUAAAACCAAAUUUGUAAAAUUCAUAUCAAAUUAUAUGAAAAUUCAAUUUAAAUUCAAAUAAAAUUUUAAAAAUUUAUAAUUUUAUAUAUUAUUUAAAAUCGAAUCAAAUUUAUUUUCAGAGUGCACCACAAAGUCGAUCAUUAAGAAGAUGGUGGGGUCCACAGCAGUUCCCCAUGGUCAAAGCCAGCACCGUGGGGUCAACCAAACGCGCAAAAACGGUCACCUUCCAAGGUGGACCCCACCAGCCCACCGCAAGGAGGGACCCCACCAGCCCACCACAAGGAGGAAAAAAUGGCUAAAAUUUGUCGCAAAGUGGGAAAUUAAUAUAAAAUCUUGAGGAUGAAAUUGAAAGAUUUGACAAACUGUGUGUUUACACUUAGGAUUUUGAAGGGUUGACCUUGAGUCAAUGCAUAAGCACCAAAUUGUGUUUUGGUUUAAAUUGAUGGUUAUUGAUAGUUAAAAGUUAUUCUUUUGGAAAAAAUUUUUCAUUUUCAUUUCUAUUGUGAAAUAUCUUUCAUACUCAAUCCAAGCAAUUCUAGAAGACAAAAAAAAUAAAAACAAAAACAAAAACCUUGCAAAAAAAGUUAAAAUUCUCAUAACUACCCUAAACCCUAAGUUCAAUAAUUCAAUUUGGGAUAUAAUUAUACUUUUGUUAAAUUUUAAUAAUUAAAAUUAAGAAUUCAAUAUUUUAUCAUUAGGUCAUAUGAUUGUUGUAAUAAUUUUAAAAUGUUAAUUAUUGUAUAUUAGAAGAAUUUAAUUUUUCAAAUAAAUGUUUUAAAAUACAUAAAUUAGACAAUAAUAUAUAUAUUUUAUACCGUUUUUAAGGAUUUAAUAGCGGUAAUUAUUAUUUCAUGUAUGUUUUUAUAGAUUGAUCAAAAUAUAAAUUAAUUCAUCCAAUAAAAAUAAUUACAAAAGGAAAAAGGUUCCAUUUGUUUGUUUAUAUAUAUAUAUAUAAAGUAGUAUUUAUACCAUGUUCUCUCUGUUCAUUAUUAUAAAUUAAAUUAGUGAACCCUUUGUUCAUUAUUAUCUAAAGCAAAACAUAAAUAAUUCUAAGUUACAAAAAGAGGGUCAAGGCAUUGGAAAAGAAUCACACUUUAAACAUAAACAAAUUACGUGAAAAGUAGCCUUGAUGCAAGUUGUUAAGAUUUAAAAUUUAAAUACAAAAUAUUCAUAUUCAAAUUUUUAUGAUUUUUUAUUGAUAGAUAAUUUAUAAAUUUAAAAAUUUUAAAAAACCUGUAAAUUUCUUAAUGAGUUGAUGAUUAUAUAAAAAAAUUUAUUACUUUAUUUACAUUUGCUUGCUUUCCAAACUGUGAUGCCAUGCCACAUCUGUAGUCUUUACUUUCUUUUAGUCACUUUCAUUAAAAUAGUUUUAUGCUUUUUCAGGCACUUUCAUGAAAGUGGACUUGAAUCUUAGUCAAAAAAAUAGGCUGGCUUUAUUAGAAGACUAUACUUUUCAAGCUUUUGCAAGUCAAUUUUUACUAAUUUUUCAUUUUUUUUUCCAUCUCAAUUGCCCCAUUGGUCUUCCCUCGUGAUUCUUACCAAUUCAGCUUUUUUGCAAAAUUUUUUUAGUUAAUUACAAAUUUAAUAUGUAAAUUUGAAAAACUAUAUAUAAAUUGAUUCUUAUUUUUAAUACAUUCAAUUUAAAAAAUAAAUCAUAAUGAACAAAUAACUCUUAAAAUAAACGUUAAUUCGAAUAUUACAUUAAAAAUUUUAUUAUAAUUUAACUAUCAUUUACAAAGUUAUAUACAAAAUAAAUAUUUUGAUAUAUAUGAUGAGGAAGGAAGUUUUCUCUUGCAUAUAAUUCCAAUGUCACCACAUUGGAUUAAUAAAGAAAUAUGAUGACAUGGAAGGGAAUUAUUGGUCCACAUCAGCAUAAUGAUUGUGAAAGAGGUUGCUUCUUAACGAUUGGAACACAAAAAGAUAGAGAGCACUACUAAAUUUCAUGUAGUGUAUUUUGGGGUAGUGGUCCUAGAUAGUGUAGGGCCCUUGAAUACUAAAGACUUGUUCAAAGGAAACGGACUCUCCACUUUGGUCUUUGGAUUUAUAUGAUUUCAAGCAACAAUUUUCUUUUCCAAUAUUACUUUGUUUUGAAUUAUCUAAAAAAAUCUAACAAAUCGUUCGUGCAAUCAAUUUUAAAAAUAAUAUUUAAUAAAUUUAAAAUUUAUUAUUUUAUUUUUAAAAAUAUUAUAUUAAAUUAAUAUAUAAAAAUAAAAAUUUAAAUUUCAUAAAUAAAUAAAUCAAAUCAAAAAUUUAUUAUUUUAUUUUUAAAAUAUUAUAUUAAAUUAAUAUAUAAAAUAAAAAUUUUAAAUUUCAUAAAUAAAUAAAUCAAAUCAAACAAAUAAAAUUUAAUUUAAUUCAAAUCAAAUCAUAUAAAAAUUUAAUUUAAAUUUAAAUAAAAUUAUAAAAAAUUAUAAUAUUAUAUAAUAUAAAAAAUUUAAAUUAAAUUUAAUUCGAAUCAUUAUCACUCUUAAAAUUUUAUCCCUCUUUGUUUUGAAAUCUGGUUGGAGAUAUUGGUGUCCGAAAGUGUUGUUCGCACAAUUCGUGUAUCAAAAGGAGAUAUAGAUUCAUGCCAGCCAAUAGCAGCUCUGAAAGAAAUGUUAAUGGACAGGUGGGAAUAGCGUUGAUGACCAAGUCUGUCAGGUGAUGGCAUCAUAAAAAAAGCAACAAGGAAACUGAUUGAAAUCACUGGCUUGGGUAUUCUGACAAAAGUGGUCCCUUUUUUUUUACAUCAAAAAGUGCAAGCCAUUAGCUAUAGUUAUUUUAUAUAAAAAUUCGUAUAUUAAAAUUUAUAUUAUAUUUUAUAUAAAAAUUAUAUCAUAAUUUAUAUUAAUAUAAAAUAUAAAAUAUAAUUUUUUAUUUUAUUAAAUUUAUAUAUAAUUAUUAUUAUAAUUUUAAAUUAUGUCACAUUUAAAUUUUAUUUUAAUAUCAUAUUCAUAUCAUAUUAUUAUAUCAUAUUUGAUUAUUUGAUUUAUUUAAUAGUUUGUAUUAUAACAAAGAGAAAUCUAUGUAGGAGAAGGCCUCAACUUGCCUUGAUUAAAAUUGAAUCCUAUAGAAAAUUUCUUUUUAUAUAUUUGAAAUUGUCAAUAUUUAAAAUCCAAUUAAAGGUCACUAGUCAUAAUAAAAAUAUUUACUAGAUAUAUAAAAAAAAAUUAAAACUAAAAAUGAUAAUAAAGUGAAUAUUCAUUAUUUUGUAAGUAUCCAUAUAUGAAUUUAUUUAAUAUUUAUAAUAUUUAAAUCCGUUUAGGUUUAAUAUUAUUAUCCAAAUCUAAAUCUAUUUAAAUAAGUACUAUCUGUUUAAGUAUUCGAAUCUAAUAAAAUAUUUGUUUAUUUAAAUUUUUUAUCAAAAUACAAAAUGACCAAUAAUUUAAUUUAAAAUUUAAGUUUACUUUUAAUUAAUAACAAAUAAAAGUUAUUUGUUAAGGUUCGAAACUUUAAUAAACAUAAAGUUUUAUAAAUUUUAUAUAUAUAAAUAGAUAAUGAAUUUGAAUAUCUGUUAUUAUUCAUUAAAAUUUAAAUGGAUUCAAAUAUUAGAUACUCAAUAAAUAUUAUUCAUAUCUUACUUGAAUUUAUUAUGAAUAGUAAAUUUUUUAUUCAAAUUUAAUCAUUUGUUUAUAAUUAUCUAAAUUUAAUAUAAACGGAUCGAAUAAUAACAGAUAUCUUAUUAGUUACUAUCCAUUGUUUUCCCCAAUUAAAACAAGUUUCAUGAAUUGAAGUGCUUCAAUUACCAGCAAAUCCUUCAACAGAUGAAUAAGGAAUUAUGAAUUCAGGCUGUUUCAAGAACAUAAAGUGCUUCAGGCUGCAAGGAACUUAAAAUAUAUCAGUUAGAAAGCAACCUAGAACAGUUAAUUAUAUGCAAAUUUUAUGAUACUAAAGAUGAAAACAAUGAAAAAAACUACUAAAAUUCAGGUCUUAAUCUAUAAUCUGAUCAUUUUAUUACUUAGAAAUUUGUUUUGUUAAGACCUUGCCGGCAUUGUGGUGGUGUGGGAAGAUUACAUUUACAUUUCUUAGGCAAUGCAAAUGGCUGGGCAGGUUCAGUUUUGAAUGCUGGAAGAGCAUCUUGAAGUUGCAAAGACAAGUCAAGUUGCCAUGUUUUAGCAAACUACAACAUUGCUUGGUUGCUGCUACUGGAGGAUAUUUUUUUGGUGAUUGUCGAGUAAAUCUAAUAAUUUAAAAUAAAAUUUAGUGAAAUGAUACGAAAAUAAUAUAAAAAAAUAUAAAUAUGAUAUAACAUGAAAUUUUAACAAAAAUUAUAUAUAAUUUCAACAAAAAAAAAAUUUUGUGUCAUAAAAAAUGUAAUAUGUAAUUUUUGUAAAAAAUAAAAUAUAAAUAUACGAAUUAUUAAUAUUUUAUAUAACAUAAAAAUAUGAAUUAUUAUGUUAUAUCUGAUCAAUAUAAGUUUAGUGUCACGGUCUAAAUCAACUUGUGAAAUAUUAUUCGUUUUAAAUUAUUAAAUUUUAUGAUUUUAUCUCACAAAUUAAAAAUAAUAUAAAUAUUUUUUAAUACACAAUUGAUAUAAGAUUCAUAACUUUUUUUUAUGAUAUGAAAUUCUCCUUCAUUCUAACAAUGACUCAUCAAAUUUGAUGAUACGUUAUUAGUACCUAAAAUUAAUUAUAAUAUAAAAAAUUACGAUUCACAUUAAUUUAUGAAAUAUUAUUUAUUUAAUUUAUUAAAUUUUAUAAUUUUAUUUUAUAAAAAAUAUCUUGUAAAUUAAAAGUGACGUAUACAUUUACGUUUCAACAUCAACUUUAAUUCAUAACCAACGUAAAAUUCACGAUUCCUCUCCGAGCCCGUGACAUUUGGCUUGGUUAACUGAAUGUUACGUGUAGAAUUUGGAGUUCAUUUGACAACAAGAUUCCUGCUAUUCAUACCUUUUUUCUAUGAUAUGAAAUCUUCCUUCAUUUUAACAAUAACUCAUCAGGGUUUGAUGAUAUAUCAUUAAUAUCUAAAAUUAAUUAUAAUUUUAAAUAUCACGAUUUAUAUUAAUUUAUAAAAUAUUAUUUGUUUAAUUUAUUAAAUUUUAUAAUUUUAUUUCAUAAAAAAUAUUUUAUAAGUUAAAAGUGAUGUAUACAUUUAUGUUUCAACAUCAACUUUAAUUCAUAACCAACGUAAACUUCACGAUUCCUCUCCGAGACCGUGACAUUUGUCUUGGUCAACUGAAUGUUACGUAUAGAAUUUGGAAUUCAUUUGAUAACAAGAUUCCUGCUAUUUGCAUUAGACAGACUCUUUCAUUUGAGUGAGGAAUCAUGGAAAUUGGGCUACUUCCAAGGAUUGCAAUGGGCCUUCAAAUGUGAUAAGGCUGCCCACCUAUAUCUUUGGGUUCUGAUUGAAAUUAUCAUCCUAACCCAUUGGGCUUCCCCAAAUAAUCUAACAGGCCUUGCUUAGUCACUUCUAUCAUUUAAUUUAUCACUUAUUUAUAGGAUUAACAUGUGAUUUAAUUCUUGAAUUACAUUAUUUUUAAUGAUUUUAUAUUUAUUAAAAAAAUUCAAAAUAGAUACUUGAACUUUUUUUUUCAAAAAUUUUUCUUCACUCACUAAUUGUAAUUAAUGAUAUGUGAAAAAAAUCAAUUAAUAAUAUCAUGAUAUGUGUCAUAUUUUUAUUAAUCAGUAUUUAUCGUGUUAGUAUUUUGAUUAAUAAUGUUAGUCAAUGGUACCUAUAUAUUUGAUAAAAAUAAAAUUUAGAUAUCUAAUCGUAAAUUUUUUUAUAAGUUAAAAAUAGUACAAUUCAAAAAUCAAAUUACAUAUUAACCUUUAUUUAUUCGAAAUAGCAUAAUAGAGAAUUACUAAAUUUUUUGUGAUAGUAUUAAAAUAAGUUUUAAAGUAAAUAGUUGCUUGAGAUUAAUCUGAUAGAAAUCCAUGAUAAUUUCAAGAUACCCCAAAAAAGUAAAAAACAAACAAAUGAAAAUCUUAUUCCCCUCAUGUAAUGAUGUUCUUAAAUUGAUUUUAAUCAAAUUAAUUGAUUGAAUUGACUUAAUCUAAUUAAUCAGUUAGCUACUGAAUUAAUUUCAAUCGGUUAUCGAAAAUAAUUUUAAAGAAAUUUUGAUUUUCAAUUAAUUUGGCUUUCGAUUAGAAUUAACUGAAAUAUAAUAAAACUUAUAUAUAAUUAAAAAUAUAUGAAAUUAUCUAUUUCAUUUCAAGUUAUUAAAGGUUUUAAUUUAAUAUUUUAAUAUUUGAAUAAAUUUGUGGGAUAAUUUUAUUUAAUUUGUUUUAAAUAUAAGAAAUUAAUAAUUUAAUAUAUAAUAUAAUUUAAUAUAUUUUAUUAUUCAAUUAAUUCAAAAAAUUAACAGAAUCGAUUAAAUUAAUUUUGAUCGAUUAAUUUUUAAAUUUUAAAAAAUAAUUUUAUUAAUAAAAAUAAAAUAUCAUAAUUUGAUUAUUUUAAUAUUAAAUAAUUCAAUUUAACAUUAAUCGAAUGAAUACUCGCCCGUGUAUUAGCAAUUAUUUUUCUUUAGUUCUUAAAAAAAAAAAAAACUGCAAUAUCUUCUGUCCUUUCCCAAAAAUGAAAAUUAGGAUAUCGUGCAAGGCACUUAUAGAUGCUGGUUGUUAAGGAAAUGAGUGUUUGAACGUAGAAACAUUAGAUAGUGUUGAACAAGUUUAAAUUUUAUUGAUUUUUAUUUUUGUGUUACAAAAGUUUGAGAAUAGAACUAUAAUUAUAAUCUUAUAAAUUCAUUAGUGAAAAUAAAAAAAAAACAUUAUUGGAAAAGAUUCAUUUUUUUAAUUCGUCGAUAAUAAUUUUAAAUUUCAUAUGUGAUAUUUAAAGAUUAAAAUGUAUGCUAUUACUUUUAUAUAAAAUUUAUUAUCUUCUGAUAACAUAUCUUAGUAGAUAUGUAUUAAUUUUUUAAUUCGACUUAUAAAGAUUUUAAAUUUUAGUAACAAUGGAUGAUAUAAUUUUUUCAAUAAAUGUGGUUAUUUUAAUUUAUUUGAUAUAUUAUUUUGUUGAAUUUCAAAAUGGGUUUGAAAUUCUAAUUAAUAUCUUUGGAGGGCGCAUGGAUUAAAGUUUGGGGACAAAGGGACCAAUACUUAGGAUCCAACUCUUCCUAAUCACCCUAAAAAAGAUCUUUCAAGAAAGGUGAAGAGUGGGACAUCUUCACUCAUUUUCCCAAUCAGUCCCAGAUUUUGGCAGCUUUGUUUUCACGAAUAAACCAAAACCAUCUUAUUGAAUCUUAAUCAAAAAUAUAUUUUGUAUACAACUUUUGAUAUUACCAAUGUAAUCACAAUAAAAUAUUUUAUUAAAUUCGAAAUUUGAUUUAAUUAUUUCAUACAUUUAUUUUUAAGAGAUAGUAUUUAAUAAUUUUAUAGUUUAAAUUCAACAUUUAUAAUUCUUUUCAUUACUUUAAAUUAUGACUUUUAAAAAAAAAAAAGAAUUUGACCCAUAGGUUAAUGCUUGACAAUCAUAAUCUUUGCUUCGUAACCUAGAUUUAAUUAAAAAAGUAAAUAAAUAAAUAAUUUUUAAAAUUUUCUUUGAUCAAUAAUAAUUUUGUAUUUUUGUAUGUUUGAGUAUAAAUUUUACCUCAAUUUUUAUUUUUACAUAAAUUAGCAUUUGUUAAAUAAUACUGAUAUAAUACUCACAAAUUUUGUUUAGAUUUAAUUUUUUUUAAAUUAUUUUAAAUAAGUGUUUUUCAUAUAUAUAUUUAGGAUUUUAUUUUUAACCUUUAAAUUAUUUUAAAAUUAUACAUGGGUGUAUUUUCUUUAGUUAAUAUUUUGCAUGGUAUUCUCUUGUGUUCUAAUACGCGUAUUCAUUAUCAUUUAUAAUAUUCAUCACCUCAAAUUAUUUUGUUAUUUGAAUUUGAAUACUCUCUUAUGUUGAAGUAUACCAAACAUCAAUCAACUUAAAUUUUAUUUUGUUUUAUUUUUGGACGCCAUAGAUUUUAUAAUUUUAAAACGAGACAAUAAUAUAAUAUAAAAAUAAUAUAAAUUAAAAAUUAAAUGAUCUAAAAUUUUGAUUAAAAAUUAUAAAAAAUUUGGUAAAAAUAUAAAUAUUUUGCAUUAUCCUAUCAUUCGAUUGUGAUAAAUAAAUUUCUUUAUUUGAACUGUGCCUGUCUUAUUUUAUAUAUCAAACGAAAAAUUUUAUUUUAUAUCAUUUGAUUAUUUAUAUAUUUAUAUUAUAUAAAAUAUUAAAAUUUAUAUAUUUAUAUAUAUCUUAUAUCAUAAUUUAUAUUUAUUUAAAAAUAUAAAAUAUAUUUUUUAAAUUUUAUUAAACUUACAUAUAAUUAUUUUUAAAAUUUUAAAAUAUAUUAUUUUUAUAUUUUUUAUUCAUAUCAUAUUUAUAUCUUAUCAAUUUCAUAAUUUCAUAUUUAAACCUAUUCAAAAAAGCUGCCCAAGAUCCUAAACUCCACCCUACGCCGACAAAUACACGUGUCCACACAAAUGGCUAACGUGUCAAACAACCAAAGCGAGUGCAUUCUUUAUACAGUACUCUCAGAAACACCCAAUUAGUAACGGAACCGUACCUGCUUCGAAGCUUGUCUUGCUCUUUGCUGUCUUCCAUGUAAAAACUAACAACCGUUCUUUUUACUUUGCUCUUCUUAGAAGAAAAAUCGAUCCUUUCUCUCUCUACAAUCCCGUUCUCUCUCUAUAUACCAAUCUUAUAUAUAUAUAUAUACACACACACACACAUUUGUUGAUUCUUUAAAUGGUUUUUUGUUCUGUAAAUUUUCAUGCCGUGUAAAAGAACUUUGAAAGAACUGAAUUUAUUUAUUGGGAAAAUGGAAAAUAUUUGCUUUUUAUAGGUAAAUAUUUCUGGGUUUGCUUUUUUCUUGUGUUUUCUUUAUUGGGUUAUCAUUUUUUUAGUUGUUCUUUUGAGUUUUUUUUUCUGUAUUUGGUUGUUCCUGUUGAAUUAUCUUUGGUUUGCUUUUUGUUUCUGUUUCAUUUUUGGAACUGAUGAUGAAAAAGGAGUUAUCUUGGUAGUGGUUUCUUGGGUUUCAUGUUUCUGUGAUUCUUUUGGUGAUUGUUGUAAGUUGAAAUCAAUCUAUUGGAUGGUUUCAUGAUGGCUUCUUGUUAAUAUUUAUGCUUAUGGGAUCUUAAUUUGAGUUCUGGAUUUGGAUUUUUUUUAUUUUUAGACUAUUUCUUUGUUAGUUUGUAUGUGUUAGGGACAAAAGGAUUGGAUAUUCAUGAUUGAUAUAAGUUCAAAUUCAAAGCAAUCUAUAGGGAUGGUUUCAUGAAAGAUUCUUGUUGUCUUCAUGCUUAUAGGAGAUAAAACUGAGUCAUUGAUUUGGUUUUGCUGAUUUUCAGAUUCUGGGGUUGAGGAAUCUUGUUGGAAAAUUUAGCUACUUGGGUAAUUUGGGCUGUAGUUUGAGUCCUGCAUUGGUCAUUGGAUUCUGGAUUCAGUUGGUGUAAGAAAUUUGGAGAAGAAAUUUGGGUUAGAGUUUUUUUUUUUCCUCUGCUUGGUUAAUCUGUAGUUAUGUCUAGUUUCGUUGGUGUCGUUGUCUCAGACCAAUGGCUUCAAAGCCAAUUCACACAAGUCGAGCUUCGCUGCCUUAAAUCAUAAGCAAGCAUACUUUGGUCCCUCCUAAACUUAUUGCUACAACUAUUGCAUUAUUAUUCGAUUUCAUUGUUAUUUUUUGUGAAUGUAAUUUGAUAGAAUUUGAACUGCCUUGUUUUUUAUGAUUUCUAGUUUGUUUCAGUAAAGAACCAAAAUGGUAAAGUUACAGUUGAAGAUUUGCCGCCCUUGAUGGUGAAAUGAAGGUUUUUAGUACUAUGUUUACUGAGGACGAGAUUAGUUAGAAAUUGGGCGAAUCCUAUAGUGAGAUGAGCAAUGAGAUUGAUUUUGGAACAUUCCUCAGGGUGAGUCAUUUAUAUACGGGCUUGUGCAUGCUCUCAGUUGUAUUCUAUUUUACUGUUAUUAACCAUGUAGUAUUAUAACAUAUGGAAAGAAAAAAAAACCAGAAUCAAAACUUACAUGGCGGUUUACAUUCUAUUAAAUUGCAUACAAGUGGUAAUUAUAGGCUUGAACUUCGGUUGAUACUUGAAUUAGUUAAAGGGGCCUAACAUUAUGAUUGGUUGCAUGGAAUGAGCAGUUGUUUUUAAAUUUGCAAGGUCAGGCUACGGGAAAAUUGGGCAGUCCAAAGAAUUCAUCGUUGUUCUUAAAGACCUCCACAACCACUCUUCUUCACACGGUCAGUGAAUCAGAAAAAGCCUCUUAUGUUACACACAUAAACAUUUAUCUUGGGGAUGAUCCAUUUUUAAAGCAGUUUCUUCCGCUGGAUCCAGCUACGAAUGAUCUUUUCAAUCUUGCUAAAGAUGGAGUACUUUUAUGGUAAUUUUGUGGGGUGUGCUCCUUUAUGCAUUUGCUUUUUCUUUUUCUUUUCUUGUUUUUCUAUAGAAGCUGGUACAUAGACGUGACACUUAUUCUGUUUUCUUGUAUUUUUGCAGUAAGCUUAUAAAUGUUGCUGUGCCGGGAACAAUAGAUGAACGAGCUACCAACACAAAAAGGGUACUUAACCCAUGGGAGAGGAAUGAGAACCAUACCCUUUGUCUCAACUCUGCAAAGGCUAUUGGCUGCACUGUGGUAAACAUUGGCACCCAGGACUUGGUUGAAGGAAGGGUUAGUAUAGCUAAACGGAUUCCUAUGUGAGUUAGAAUGAAAUAGGCUGAUAAUCUUAUGGUUUUCAUCUUGAUUAUUUGUAUUUCAGCCUCAUCUCUUACUUGGGUUGAUCUCUCAAAUUAUAAAGGUAGGCAUAUAAAUCAUCUGUAUUAUUUAUGUCCAAUUUCUUGUAUCGGCUUUAAACUGUCAUGCUGGACUCAGAAAAGUAGGUUGUUAACUUAAGACAAGUUGUUUUCAGGUACCCUUUUUCUCAUCCUUACCAUCUGUGACAACUGCAGAUUCAACUGUUAGCAGAUCUCAACCUUAAGAAGACACCUCAGCUUGUGGAAUUGGUGGAGGAUAGCAAUUCAG